rnacentral:snRNA from 1 species
CUGACUUCUCGGCUCUUUAGAGCUCAGAUCAAGUGUAGUACCUGUUCUUAUCAGUUUAAUAUCUGUUAUUUCCUUUAUUUGAGAACUGUGUAUUAAAUUGAUUUUUGAAAGAGGGGGUUGGAAUAGGAGCUUGCUCUGUCCACCUCAUGCAUUGGCUGGCAUUGCAGUGUUCUUAAU